UUGCGGCGUGCUUAACACAUGCAAGUCGAACGGAAAGGCCCUGCUUUUGUGGGGUGCUCGAGUGCCGAACGGGUGAGUAACACGUGAGUAACCUGCCCUUGACUUUGGGAUAACUUCAGGAAACUGGGGCUAAUACCGGAUAGGAGCUCCUGCUGCAUGGUGGGGGUUGGAAAGUUUCGGCGGUUGGGGAUGGACUCGCGGCUUAUCAGCUUGUUGGUGGGGUAGUGGCUUACCAAGGCUUUGACGGGUAGCCGGCCUGAGAGGGUGACCGGCCACAUUGGGACUGAGAUACGGCCCAGACUCCUACGGGAGGCAGCAGUGGGGAAUAUUGCACAAUGGGCGGAAGCCUGAUGCAGCAACGCCGCGUGCGGGAUGACGGCCUUCGGGUUGUAAACCGCUUUCGCCUGUGACGAAGCGUGAGUGACGGUAAUGGGUAAAGAAGCACCGGCUAACUACGUGCCAGCAGCCGCGGUGAUACGUAGGGUGCGAGCGUUGUCCGGAUUUAUUGGGCGUAAAGGGCUCGUAGGUGGUUGAUCGCGUCGGAAGUGUAAUCUUGGGGCUUAACCCUGAGCGUGCUUUCGAUACGGGUUGACUUGAGGAAGGUAGGGGAGAAUGGAAUUCCUGGUGGAGCGGUGGAAUGCGCAGAUAUCAGGAGGAACACCAGUGGCGAAGGCGGUUCUCUGGGCCUUUCCUGACGCUGAGGAGCGAAAGCGUGGGGAGCGAACAGGCUUAGAUACCCUGGUAGUCCACGCUGUAAACGGUGGGUACUAGGUGUGGGGUCCAUUCCACGGGUUCCGUGCCGUAGCUAACGCUUUAAGUACCCCGCCUGGGGAGUACGGCCGCAAGGCUAAAACUCAAAGGAAUUGACGGGGCCCCGCACAAGCGGCGGAGCAUGCGGAUUAAUUCGAUGCAACGCGUAGAACCUUACCUGGGUUUGACAUGGAUCGGGAGUGCUCAGAGAUGGGUGUGCCUCUUUUGGGGUCGGUUCACAGGUGGUGCAUGGCUGUCGUCAGCUCGUGUCGUGAGAUGUUGGGUUAAGUCCCGCAACGAGCGCAACCCUUGUUCACUGUUGCCAGCACGUUAUGGUGGGGACUCAGUGGAGACCGCCGGGGUCAACUCGGAGGAAGGUGGGGAUGACGUCAAGUCAUCAUGCCCCUUAUGUCCAGGGCUUCACGCAUGCUACAAUGGCUGGUACAGAGAGUGGCGAGCCUGUGAGGGUGAGCGAAUCUCGGAAAGCCGGUCUCAGUUCGGAUUGGGGUCUGCAACUCGACCUCAUGAAGUCGGAGUCGCUAGUAAUCGCAGAUCGGCAACGCUGCGGUGAAUACGUUCCCGGGGCUUGUACACACCGCCCGUCAAGUCAUGAAAGUUGGUAACACCCGAAGCCGGUGGCCUAACCGUUGUGGGGGAGCCGUCGAAGGUGGGACUGGUGAUU
rnacentral:rRNA from 1 species